rnacentral:rRNA from 1 species
UACGUAGGGACCGAGCGUUGUCCGGAAUCAUUGGGCGUAAAGAGCGUGUAGGCGGUCCGGUAAGUCCGCUGUGAAAGUCGGGGGCUCAACCCUCGAAUGCCGGUGGAUACUGUCGGGCUAGAGUGCGGAAGAGGCGAGUGGAAUUCCUGGUGUAGCGGUGAAAUGCGCAGAUAUCAGGAGGAACACCUAUUGCGAAGGCAGCUCGCUGGGACGUAACUGACGCUGAGACGCGAAAGCGUGGGGAGCGAACAGG